rnacentral:rRNA from 1 species
UACGGAGGGAGCUAGCGUUGUUCGGAAUUACUGGGCGUAAAGCGCACGUAGGCGGCUUUUUAAGUCAGGGGUGAAAUCCCGGGGCUCAACCCCGGAACUGCCUUUGAAACUGGGAAGCUAGAAUCCUGGAGAGGCGAGUGGAAUUCCGAGUGUAGAGGUGAAAUUCGUAGAUAUUCGGAAGAACACCAGUGGCGAAGGCGACUCGCUGGACAGGUAUUGACGCUGAGGUGCGAAAGCGUGGGGAGCAAACAGG